AAUAGAUACCCUGGUAGUCCACGCCGUAAACGAUGUCGACUUGGAGGUUGUUCCCUUGAGGAGUGGCUUCCGGAGCUAACGCGUUAAGUCGACCGCCUGGGGAGUACGGCCGCAAGGUUAAAACUCAAAUGAAUUGACGGGGGCCCGCACAAGCGGUGGAGCAUGUGGUUUAAUUCGAUGCAACGCGAAGAACCUUACCUACUCUUGACAUCCACGGAACUUAGCAGAGAUGCUUUGGUGCCUUCGGGAACCGUGAGACAGGUGCUGCAUGGCUGUCGUCAGCUCGUGUUGUGAAAUGUUGGGUUAAGUCCCGCAACGAGCGCAACCCUUAUCCUUUGUUGCCAGCGGUUAGGCCGGGAACUCAAAGGAGACUGCCAGUGAUAAACUGGAGGAAGGUGGGGAUGACGUCAAGUCAUCAUGGCCCUUACGAGUAGGGCUACACACGUGCUACAAUGGCGCAUACAAAGAGAAGCGACCUCGCGAGAGCAAGCGGACCUCAUAAAGUGCGUCGUAGUCCGGAUUGGAGUCUGCAACUCG
rnacentral:rRNA from 1 species